UACGGGGGGAGCAAGCGUUGUUCGGAUUUACUGGGCGUAAAGGGCGCGUAGGCGGCCACCGCAAGUCGAUUGUGAAAUCUCCGGGCUUAAACCCGGAAAGGUCAACCGAUACUGCGGGCUAGAGUGCAGAAGGGGCAACUGGAAUUCUCGGUGUAGCGGUGAAAUGCGUAGAUAUCGAGAGGAACACCUGCGGCGAAGGCGGGUUGCUGGGCUGACACUGACGCUGAGGCGCGAAAGCUAGGGGAGCAAACGGG
rnacentral:rRNA from 1 species